AGGAAUAUAACAAUAGUUAAUCGCUGUGUUAUUUGUGUCGCCGUGGUUGCGAUACAAAUUCCGAACAAAACUAACAAAACAUCCCAUGUUAAUGGUGUUUCUUGUCCGUAAGUUCAUCUAUAACAAAAAUGCAACGGACUGCUCACGGUUUUUUUU
rnacentral:telomerase_RNA from 1 species